rnacentral:rRNA from 1 species
UACGGAGGGUGCAAGUGUUAUCCGGAUUCACUGGGUUUAAAGGGUGCGUAGGUGGGCUGGUAAGUCAGUGGUGAAAUCUCCAGGCUUAACUUGGAAACUGCCAUUGAUACUAUUAGUCUUGAAUACCGUGGAGGUCAGCGGAAUAUGUCAUGUAGCGGUGAAAUGCUUAGAUAUGACAUAGAACACCAAUUGCGAAGGCAGCUGGCUACACGAAUAUUGACACUGAUGCACGAAAGCGUGGGGGUCAAACAGG